rnacentral:rRNA from 1 species
GAGUUUGAUCCUGGCUCAGGAUGAACGCUGGCGGCGUGCUUAACACAUGCAAGUCGAACGGGAAACCUUUUAUUGAAGCUUCGGCAGAUUUGGUCUGUUUCUAGUGGCGGACGGGUGAGUAACGCGUGGGUAACCUGCCUUAUACAGGGGGAUAACAACCAGAAAUGGUUGCUAAUACCGCAUAAGCGCACAGGACCGCAUGGUCCGGUGUGAAAAACUCCGGUGGUAUAAGAUGGACCCGCGUUGGAUUAGCUAGUUGGCAGGGUAACGGCCUACCAAGGCGACGAUCCAUAGCCGGCCUGAGAGGGUGAACGGCCACAUUGGGACUGAGACACGGCCCAGACUCCUACGGGAGGCAGCAGUGGGGAAUAUUGCACAAUGGGGGAAACCCUGAUGCAGCGACGCCGCGUGAAGGAAGAAGUAUCUCGGUAUGUAAACUUCUAUCAGCAGGGAAGAUAGUGACGGUACCUGACUAAGAAGCCCCGGCUAACUACGUGCCAGCCGCCGCGGUAAUAC